AGAAAGCUUAAAAAUAGAAUUGCUUCAAGCCCUGAGGCCUGAAAGUGAAACAUAAUCUAACGUGGCUGUAGUGCACUGACUCGUUAGGGGCAGCGAUAUAUGGCUUAUCUGUAAUCCACAAACCAGAAAGGUGCCCAGUGUAGAUACGGUCUAACAGCCAGUGAGCAUUAAGUACCAACUGAUGAGAGUAGUAAUCAGUGAAGCUGAUUUCCUCUGGAAAG
rnacentral:lncRNA from 1 species